rnacentral:lncRNA from 1 species
AAGGGGGAUAAUCUAUCUCUUUAAUGGUGAUAACUUUUGAUGUUAAGAACUUUUGAAUGUUACCAUGCAACGAUGCAAUAUGGAUUGACUAAUAGUGUGAAACUUGCUUGAAUUUUUACCACACUUUCAUUGUUGAAUUGUUCUCCUUUUUGUUGAUGACAAAGGGGGAGAAAUGAUACCAAAAUAUGGUAAAAUUGAUGACCAAUU